rnacentral:misc_RNA from 1 species
AGAAGUAAAAGUCGUAACAAGGUCUCCGUAGGUGAACCUGCGGAGGGAUCAUUACAGAGUUCUCGCCCUUACGGGUAGAUCUCCCACCCACUGUUAUCGUUACUGUCGUUUCUUUGGCGGGCCGCCGGGUCCCCCGGCCGCCGGCGUCUAAUAGGCGGCGCGCGCCCGCCAGAGGCCUUCAAACUCUGAAUGUUAGUGUCGUCUGAGUACUACAUAAUAGUUAAAACUUUCAACAACGGAUCUCUUGGUUCUG